AAGAUACUAGUAAAAACAUUACACUGCCUUGUCAAGGCAGAGUCGCAGGUUAGACCCCUGCGUAUCUUA
rnacentral:tRNA from 1 species